ACCCAGAUCUGAGGCUUGGUGCAAGAGAAGGGGACGAGAAGCUUGCUGGCGACGGGGACGGGUGAGUCGAGUCAGGUCGGGUCGAGAGGGGGAGGUUGUUGGCUCCGAGGAGGGUGCGGAGGUGGCCGGGUGAUGUUGAAGAGGGUCUUGACGGUGUUGAGAGUGGUGGCGUUUGUGGGGACGAAGUCGAUGAGCGCGUGGCAGUUGGAGGUGGCGUUUGUGGGGGUGGUGCAGUUGAAGGUGGCGGUGGAGGAAGGAGCUGUGAGAAUGGAGAGAGAGCCCGGCAUGAGAGUGAUGGUCUAGAGAGAGAGAGAGAGAGCUCUAGGAAAAGAUGGGUUUCCUUCUAUUUAUAAAGUUGGUGAGUGUGUGAUUUAAAAGAAUUGAUAUGUUUUGAAAAAUUUUGGUUUGAAUUUUCAUGAAAUUUUACGCGGGAAGAUGAACGCUGAAUUUUUUAGAACUUAAGCGACGGAAUGUUCUAUUUUCGUCGUCUAAGUGAUUCAUUAUUUUUUUUUUUAAAACAUUCUGUCUCCUAAGUAAACAUUUCCGUCUCUUAAGUUCUACUUAAGCUACGAAAUGUAGUUUCGUCUCCUAAGUGAUUCAUAUAAAUUUUUUAAUUUUUAUUUUUUCAAAAUGUCGUCGUCUAAGUAAAAAUAUUCUGUCUCUUAAGCAGUACUUAAGCGACAGAAUGAAAUUCCGUCUCCUAAGAACAACUUAGGAGACGGAAACUGUUUCGUCGCUUAAGUAAAAAAUUCCGUCGCUUAAGUACCACUUAGGAGACGGAAUUUUUUAAUUCUGUCGCCUAAGUGCUAUUUUCCAGUAAUGACACUCUCACUACCCAUGUUUACAUGAGUGGUAGUUAUGCCGGGUUCGCCAUGUAAAACAAACUGAGGGUGUGGUCACGAAAUUGAUUGGAAAUCCGGCAACUAAGUAUUUCUCAGCUCAGACUUUUGCAUUGCAUGUUGCACUGUUUGAUAAGAUCUCAAAAGCAAGUUUAUGCCAAGUUCAUCUUUUGAAACCAUUUUGAUAAAGGCAUGUUCUACGGCUUAUUAUUAUGUUAUCGUAAGCAUAGGUAUUCAACGUACCCUAGCUUGGUUGGGCUGGACCUUAUUGGGCAAAGUAAGGACAAACUCUCACCCUUACAACAGUUUAAGAUGCAUGUAUUAUGUACUGAUACGGCACAUAUAAUAAGAAGGGAGAUUAGGGCGUGAUUGUUAAUAUCAAGUCUUAUAUUUGAUUGAGGUGACUUCUU
rnacentral:lncRNA from 1 species